GCAAAACAUGCUAGUUGAAUACACUUACUGUGGCAUGUAUAAGUAACUUCUCUGCCCUUGAACUUUGUGACAUAUUUCUCACGGAGAUAUGACAGGAAGAAAGGUACACUGGCGGAGGGAUGCAGGUUGUUAGCUGAACGUUUAUGCCUGUUUUGCCACCUUAACUCCAGUCAUGGCGGGGAUCUUCCAAAGAUCACUAAGGCUGCGGACAGCUCUCAGGCAUCUGAGCCUCCAAAGCCCCCUCUCAUGGACAGUCACAGGAAGACAUACACCUCUGGACCUCCACUGCCCAUUCCUGCCCUCCACCUCAUGGCAGUUUGCAGUCUGCAGUCGAAAGCUGCACACUGGGGGGGACAGGCCCUCUCCUGCUGCUGCCCCAGACCGGCUGCCUUUCUCCAGGAUAACCCAGGAAGAUUUAGCCUUCUUCAGGAAGAUCCUACCAGGCCGAGCCGUCACAGACCCGGACCUGCUGGAGUCCAGUAAUGUGGAUUGGCUCAAGUCAGUGAAAGGCUCCAGUGAAUUGUUGCUGAGACCUCAAACAACUGAAGAAGUUUCUCAAAUUCUCAAGUAUUGUAACAGUCGUAAUCUGGCGGUGAACCCUCAAGGAGGCAACACUGGGCUGGUUGGGGGCAGCGUGCCGGUUUAUGAUGAGAUCAUCCUCUCCACUGCCCUUAUGAACAACAUCCUCACCUUUGAUAGCAUCUCCGGCAUUCUGACCUGUCAGGCAGGCUGUGUUUUGGAGAACUUGUCUCUUUACCUGGAGGACAGAGACUACAUCAUGCCUCUUGAUCUGGGGGCAAAGGGCAGCUGCCACAUUGGGGGAAACGUGGCAACGAAUGCAGGCGGACUCCGUCUGCUGCGAUACGGCUCCUUACGUGGGACUGUGCUGGGUCUGGAAGUGGUGUUGGCAGAUGGGAGAGUGCUGGACUGCUUAUCCACUCUGCGGAAAGAUAACACAGGAUAUGACCUCAAACAGCUGUUCAUAGGGUCAGAGGGCACACUAGGGGUCAUCACUUCAGUGUCCAUCCUCUGUCCACGCAAACCCAAAUCUGUUAAUGUGGUUUUUCUUGGCUGUGAAACCUUUGAGCAGCUGCUGAAGACAUUUCAGCUCUCCAGAGGCAUGCUGGGAGAAAUUCUGUCAGCCUUUGAAUUCCUGGACAGUGAGUGUAUGAGGCUGCUGAAUACGCACCUAAAACUACGCAAUCCCAUCUCUGAUUGUCCAUUCUACGUUGUCAUUGAAACAUCUGGAUCUGACUCGACACAUGACGGGGAGAAACUCCACAAUUUCUUAGAGGAGGCGAUGACGUCAUCGUUGGUGACUGAUGGGACUGUGGCAACUGAAGACUCAAAAAUAAAGGCUCUGUGGUCGAUGCGCGAGCGUGUCACGGAAGCGCUGACUCAUGACGGCUUCACCUACAAGUACGACAUCUCACUUCCUGUGGAGCGGAUCUACCAGCUGGUGACGGACAUGAGGGAGCACCUGGGGGACCGAGCCAAGAGUGUGGUGGGAUACGGACACGUAGGGGAUGGAAAUCUCCACUUGAAUGUCACCUCUCCUGCCAAAGACCCCGCUCUUCUGGCUGCCAUCGAGCCCUUCGUGUACGAGUGGACGGCCAGCUGUAACGGCAGCAUCAGUGCAGAGCACGGCCUGGGCCUGAAGAAGAGGAACUACAUCUACUACAGUAAACCCAGCCAGGCUGUGGCUCUGAUGGGGAACAUCAAGGCCAUGCUGGACCCUAAGGGCAUCCUCAACCCGUACAAGACUCUACCAGACGACCUUAAAUGACCCCAACUGUCUCACUGCUGUGGGGUUAGAGGAGAGCUGUGGAUCUUGUCCAGGGUCUUCUUGAUGCGCAGCGCUGUGAGCCGUGCAGAGGGGUUCUGGUACCAACACUCCUUCAUCAGUUUCACCAGAGCAGAGAGAGUCUGAGAGAGGGGAGAAAAGACGACUAUCAAACACGACAUGCAAUAGAAGGAAGCACCAGCCCAAAGGCCCAGAUGUCCACCCUCUUAUAGGCGUCGAAGCAGUCGAUCUGAAUGCUCUCGUCCAGAACCUCGGGGGCCAUGUAGCGCUUGGUGCCCACCUUGGGGUUGUUGCCCACAUCCAGCUGGUUGUCUGCCUGCGAGUGGGUCACAGCCAGCCCUGAAACAGCCAGUUACACACAGCACUUUAGUCAACCUUAGAAACAAUCUGGGCACAUUUAGAAGUUCUGGCAUGGAUAUACACCAGCUGAAAGAGACAAGUCCCACGGUUAGUCUGAUGUAUAAAGUACUACAUAAGAGCUCCAACAGGAAGGGACUGAAAUCCCAGAGACUACCAGAAUAAAAGUGGUAGAAAUAAAAGUCUCUGUGUGCGAUGGCCGGUUUCCCCUCUGUGCCGAAGAUCUCCGUGUGAAGGUGCACCAGGCCGCCGGCUAUCGACGCAGCCAUCGCUAAGCCCUCUGACGUCUCCACGGCAACUCGUUGCAAGUAGUCAUAAAGUGAGCCGUUCUCAUGGUAAUGGGUGAUGAGCCACAGCUGGGUGCUGGAGUUGCGAGACGUCAUGUCAGACGCCAUGAAGCCUGGGAGAAGAGACAGCAUCAUCAAAAUAUGUUUUAUUUGUAUUUGCUGUUAUGUCAAUCUUGGUACCUAUCAGCUAUCAGUGUGAUGAUGCUGGAUUGCAUUAUAUUAUACGCUUUUUAAUGUGUUCACCUCCACAGAAUGUUUCCAACAUUGAGGUGUUAAGAUACAAGGACAUUGAAGGGAUUUGAGAUGUAUCUACAACAAGGAAAUUGUAUUGUAAACUGUAUUCUUGGAAACAAUAUUAAAACACGCUCUGAAAGGAA